ACGCACGCUGGCGGCGUGCCUAAUACAUGCAAGUAGAACGCUGAAGGAGGAGCUUGCUUCUCUGGAUGAGUUGCGAACGGGUGAGUAACGCGUAGGUAACCUGCCUGGUAGCGGGGGAUAACUAUUGGAAACGAUAGCUAAUACCGCAUAAGAGUAGAUGUUGCAUGACAUUUGCUUAAAAGGUGCAAUUGCAUCACUACCAGAUGGACCUGCGUUGUAUUAGCUAGUUGGUGGGGUAACGGCUCACCAAGGCGACGAUACAUAGCCGACCUGAGAGGGUGAUCGGCCACACUGGGACUGAGACACGGCCCAGACGCCUACGGGAGGCAGCAGUAGGGAAUCUUCGGCAAUGGACGGAAGUCUGACCGAGCAACGCCGCGUGAGUGAAGAAGGUUUUCGGAUCGUAAAGCUCUGUUGUAAGAGAAGAACGAGUGUGAGAGUGGAAAGUUCACACUGUGACGGUAUCUUACCAGAAAGGGACGGCUAACUACGUG
rnacentral:rRNA from 1 species